rnacentral:rRNA from 1 species
UACGUAGGGUGCAAGCGUUGUCCGGAAUUAUUGGGCGUAAAGAGCGUGUAGGCGGUCCGGUUAGUCCGCUGUGAAAGUCCAGGGCUCAACCCUGGAAUGCCGGUGGAUACUGUCGGGCUAGAGUCCGGGAAGGGGCGAGUGGAAUUCCUGGUGUAGCGGUGGAAUGCGCAGAUAUCAGGAGGAACACCAAUAGCGAAGGCAGCUCGCUGGGACGGUACUGACGCUAAGGCGCGAAAGCGUGGGGAGCGAACAGG